rnacentral:rRNA from 1 species
GACGAACGCUGGCGGCGUGCUUAACACAUGCAAGUCGGGCGGUAAGGCCCUUUCGGGGGUACGACGAGCGGCGAACGGGUGAGUAACACGUGGGUGACCUGCCCUCAGCUCUGGGAUAAGCCUGGGAAACCGGGUCUAAUACUGGAUAUGACUCCAUGACGCAUGUUGUGGGGUGGAAAGCCUUGUGCGGCUGAGGAUGGGCCCGCGGCCUAUCAGCUUGUUGGUGGGGUGAUGGCCUACCAAGGCGACGACGGGUAGCCGGCCUGAGAGGGCGACCGGCCACACUGGGGACUGAGACACGGCCCAGACUCCUACGGGAGGCAGCAGUGGGGAAUCUUGCGCAAUGGGCGAAAGCCUGACGCAGCGACGCCGCGUGAGGGAUGACGGCCUGGUGUAAC